ACCUACGGGGGGCAGCAGUAGGGAAUUUUCGUCAAUGGGCGCAAGCCUGAACGAACAAUGCCGCGUGAACGAGGAAGGUCUUCGGAUCGUAAAGUUCUGUUGAAGGGGAAAAGGAGCGGAGAGAGGAAAUGGUCUCCGAUUGAUAUUACCCUUCGAGGAAGUCACGGCUAACUACGUGCCAGCAGCCGCGGUAAUACGUAGGUGGCGAGCGUUAUCCGGAAUGAUUGGGCGUAAAGGGUGCGUAGGCGGCCUGCUAAGUCUGGAGUGAAAGGUACCGGCUCGGCCGGUUCACGUUCUGGAACAUG
rnacentral:rRNA from 1 species